rnacentral:sRNA from 1 species
GGCUAGAAGACAGCAGGGGAACUCGAGAAGUUGGUUGUUUUCAGCAGAUUAAAACAACACAGUCAGAAGGUUGGUGCUGUUUAAAGGGGAAAAAAAAGCUCUAAGUGUCCCCUUCUCCCAAAAAAAGGAACCAGAAAAUGACAAGAAGAGUUGCAUUUGUCUAUGAAAGUGCAUAGAAAGCUUUUCCUGGAAAAGAAUAAACUGGGAAAAGAUGAGUCCUUGAAGUAGAACCCUGUCAUAGUGCAACAAACUGAAUUUAAGAGGCAUCCGUUCCCAGCUUAUACAACAUCCAGUACCAGUUCCACAGCCAACAAUGGAUAGAUUUGGUCUUCCUUGAAGCAUUUAGAGACCUGUAGAAUGAACUUAACUUCUGAAAACUGGGUGCGGGGCCAAUAGAGGGGCUGCUCGAUACCUCACCAGCCUGCUAUGCGGAAGGCUAGAUGGAGGGGCUGCUAAAGGAAGAGAACUGCUGUUCCAACUCCGCCUCCUCCCUGCAGUGUGGCUUCUUAGAAAAGGAGAUACCGCUGGCCCUCCAUAUUCACAAGCUCUGCAUCUGUGGGUUCAGCCAACUAUGGAUCGAAAUAUGCAACUUCAUAUUAUCUUCAUUCAGGAGG